GGGGCUGGCGAGGCAGGGUUCCUUCCCCCUGUGCCCCCACGCGGCCCCGUCCGGCCCUGCCGCAGGCCCGGAGCCGGCGGGGAGCGGAGGAGGCGGUGGGCGCUGCCCCGUGCGCGUCCCUCCGCUCAUCCUCCAUUUAUUCUCGCACAACGCAAGGUGCCCGAGGGAAGAAAUGCUUGAGGCCGCGGCAGGAACAGGCUGGCAACCGGCUGAGCUCCUCAGGGCCUUCAAGAAAGUUUGCCCAGAUUAAGAUCAGAAUUUAUUUAAUUAAUGUAUUUGUUCAUUGUGAUAAGCUGUGAGAUCCAAUAGACCUUUAACUUCCCAGCGCCCGGGUGGAAGCAGACCCAGAGCACCACAGCGGUGACAUUUCCCUUCCUUGUGUCCCCAGCGGUGAAUUUACAGCGAAUAAAGACCCAGCUCUGCAUCCUCGCUGCA